AAAACCAAGUCGAGGGGAAACUGGAAAGUAAAGAAAGUUGUAAAAGCAAGGCGGUGUUUUAAUAUAAAUAACUGCAACUUGGUUUUGGCAUGUGUUUCGUAUUUUAAUUCAACCAACACAAAACUGCACAAGUUGGACUAAACAUGACUUGUAUUCAGAGAUAUAAGGAUUGAGUUGAAAGAGUUAAUUUUUGUUUAUUGUUGAAGAUGAAAAAGUGUGAGCUCUGUGAGUCUCCUGCCAAGAUAUGCUGUGAAUCUGAUCAAGCUAGUUUGUGUUGGGAUUGCGACACCAAAGUUCACGGCGCCAAUUUUUUAGUCGCCAAGCAUUCAAGAACUCUUCUUUGUCAUCUCUGUCAAUCUCCAACUCCCUGGAAUGGCUCUGGGCCAAAACUUGGUCCUACCAUAUCUGUUUGCAAUGUUUGUGUUGGUGAUAGUGGCCAUAUGGAGAAGGGAAAAAAUUGGGAACUAAAAGGGAAUGAUGAAGCUAAUCUUGAUGGAAAAGAUGACGACGAUGAUGAGGAUGAGGAUGAUGAAGAUGAUAAUAUGGGUGAUAAAGAUGAUGAUGAUCAAGAUAAUCAAGUUGUUCCAUGGUCAUCUACGCCGCCACCUCCAGUUUCAAGCUCUUCAACAAGUGGAGAAUGCUCGAGUAAUAAGUUCUCUAAUGGUGAAGAAGGCUUAUCAGAAUCCAACAUAGGAUUUUCGGUGAAGCGGAUGCUUCAGACUGCAAAGUUUCAUUCACAACUGAUUAAUGGAAGCAACAAUUUGAAGCAGGAUCAUCAAGUCUAUUUGUCCUCUCAACAAAACAAGAACAAAUAUUUGUGAGAUGAACCAGCUUGUAUUGAAUGCAUAAUCACUUUCAGGCCAUUGAAGGACGACAAAAGCAAGUGCAAAAACUGAUAAUGAUGAAACUAGUUGCCUCAAGAUCAAAGCCACAAAUGUUCAAGGAGGCUGCUGAUGACAUUUUAAUUGACUGAUAGCUGUAUAAGAAAAGGUGGAGAUAAAGCUUUAGUUUUAUGGUGAUAUUGCACUUUGGCUACUAGAUGGGUUCUGUGUGAUGAAAUUAAUUAAAGAAUUUUUGAAGACUCAAGGUAAGAGGAUGUGUAUUUGCUUUGGGAUAGAACUCAUGUUCUUGCUUCUCUGGGGGCUCCAAUUACUAAACAUUUCAAGGGAUUUCUUUUUUCUUUGUUAAGAAGGAUUGGAAAGUUGCAGUGGCUUGAUUUUCCUGUUUCCAUUCUUUUUCUUCUUUUUUUCUUUUCUUAAUUUUCCUGGGCUACUGGUUCAC